GACGAACGCUGGCGGCGUGCUUAACACAUGCAAGUCGAGCGGAGCGGCGCACGGGUGAGUAACGCGUGAGUAACUGCCCCCCUCUCUGGGAUAACAGUUGGAAACGGCUGCUAAUACCGGAUAGUGGGGGAUGACUCGCGGCCUAUCAGUUUGUUGGUGGGGUAGUGGCCUACCAGGGCGACGACGGAUAGCCGGCCUGGGGGGGCGACCGGCCACAUUGGGCUGAGAGACGGCCCAAACUCCUACGGGGGGCAGCAGUGGGGAAUAUUGCACAAUGGGGGAAACCCUGAGGCAGCAGCGCCGGGGGCGGGAUGACGGCCUUCGGGUUGUAAACCGCUUUCAGCCAUGACGCGGUAGUGGCAGAAGAAGCACCGGCUAACUACGUGCCAGCAGCCGCGGUAAUUC
rnacentral:rRNA from 1 species